rnacentral:rRNA from 1 species
GGGGGAUAUUGCACAAUGGGGGAAACCCUGAUGCAGCGACGCCGCGUGAGGGAAGACGGUCUUCUGGAUUGUAAACCUCUGUCUUCGGGGACGAUAAUGACGGUACCCGAGGAGGAAGCCACGGCUAACUACGUGCCAGCAGCCGCGGUAAUACGUAGGUGGCGAGCGUUGUCCGGAAUUACUGGGUGUAAAGGGAGCGUAGGCGGGAAGGCAAGUUGAAUGUUAAAUCUAUCGGCUCAACCGGUAGCUGCGUUCAAAACUGUUUUUCUUGAGUGAAGUAGAGGCAGGCGGAAUUCCUAGUGUAGCGGUGAAAUGCGUAGAUAUUAGGAGGAACACCAGUGGCGAAGGCGGCCUGCUGGGCUUUUACUGACGCUGAGGCUCGAAAGUGUGGGGAGCAAAC